GGGGUUGAAGCUCAGUGGUAGAGCACUUGCCUUUCACGUGUGAGGCCCUGGGUUCAAUCCCCAGCACCA
rnacentral:tRNA from 1 species